UACGUAGGUGGCAAGCGUUGUCCGGAAUUACUGGGUGUAAAGCGCGUGUAGGCGGGAGGCCAAGUCUGCUGUGAAAUCGCUCGGCUCAACUGGGCGGGGUCGGUGGAAACUGGUCACCUGGAGGACGGUAGAGGCGAGUGGAAUUCCCGGUGUAGUGGUGAAAUGCGUAGAGAUCGGGAGGAACACCAGUGGCGAAGGCGGCUCGCUGGGCCGGUCCUGGCGCUGAGACGCGAAGGCGUGGGGAGCGAACGGG
rnacentral:rRNA from 1 species